UUAACUAUUAAAUAGUACUCGGACGACAUAAAAUUUCAGAGUUUAAAUUCUCUGGCAAGCACUUACUAGCCGAAGCUAGUAGUUAAGCUGACGCCUAAGCGGCCUGCCAAAGCAACAAAGCAUAAUACUCAAGGGUUGGAAGAUACUAGGUGAGAUGCUACGAGGUUAUACGUCUCAAACGAUAUAUUAGUGAGAGACACCAAGACUUUCUCACCGUUCUUUUCUUUAAUGAUCCUUCCGCAGGUUCACCUACGGAAA
rnacentral:misc_RNA from 1 species